UCUGGUGGUCUCGCUCGCAGUCGUGAAUUUGGUGGUGGGAGGGAUCUUGGUAGAUAUCGAGAUACUUCACCUCAUUACAGUCGAAGAAUAAGUGGUGGCAGGCCAUUUGGAAGAGGUGUUGAUGGCCCUGGACUUGCUUCUGGGCCAUUUCGUGGGGAACGUAGUAAAAACAAUCCAAAUGUGCGUCCUAGGGAUGGGGAUUGGUAUUGCUCAGAUCCUCUAUGUGACAACCUAAACUUUGCAAGACGAGAAUUUUGUAACAACUGCAAUAGACCCCGCACUGGAGCUGGUGGAAGUCCUCGAAGAGGUUAUGUUGGUCCAUCCCUGCAUUCUCCUCCUAGGCGCUUUGCUGCGCACCCAGUUGAACGUUCUCCUGGCAGGACUCUUAGUGAAUAUAGGUCUCCUCCCCGUAGUUGGGCCAGGGAUGGUCCUAGGGAGAUUGCAGCUGGUG
rnacentral:misc_RNA from 1 species